AGUCGAGCGAACGGACGAGAAGCUUGCUUCUCUGAUGUUAGCGGCGGACGGGUGAGUAACACGUGGAUAACCUACCUAUAAGACUGGGAUAACUUCGGGAAACCGGAGCUAAUACCGGAUAAUAUUUUGAACCGCAUGGUUCAAAAGUGAAAGACGGUCUUGCUGUCACUUAUAGAUGGAUCCGCGCUGCAUUAGCUAGUUGGUAAGGUAACGGCUUACCAAGGCAACGAUGCAUAGCCGACCUGAGAGGGUGAUCGGCCACACUGGAACUGAGACACGGUCCAGACUCCUACGGGAGGCAGCAGUAGGGAAUCUUCCGCAAUGGGCGAAAGCCUGACGGAGCAACGCCGCGUGAGUGAUGAAGGUCUUCGGAUCGUAAAACUCUGUUAUUAGGGAAGAACAUAUGUGUAAGUAACUGUGCACAUCUUGACGGUACCUAAUCAGAAAGCCACGGCUAACUACGUGCCAGCAGCCGCGGUAAUACGUAGGUGGCAAGCGUUAUCCGGAAUUAUUGGGCGUAAAGCGCGCGUAGGCGGUUUUUUAAGUCUGAUGUGAAAGCCCACGCCUCAACCGUGGAGGGUCAUUGGAAACUGGAAAACUUGAGUGCAGAAGAGGAAAGUGGAAUUCCAUGUGUAGCGGUGAAAUGCGCAGAGAUAUGGAGGAACACCAGUGGCGAAGGCGACUUUCUGGUCUGUAACUGACGCUGAUGUGCGAAAGCGUGGGGAUCAAACAGG
rnacentral:rRNA from 1 species